CUCCCACCACAUCCACAAAAAAUCACCCUCCCCACCUCGAUCCUCUUCCGCGAGACGGCAAACCGAUCGGUGGAACGGAACCUCCCUCAGUCUCAAGGCGAGCGAGCAAGCGCGGCUCACGUCCACAGGGCCAGCGACAGUAGGCUGUAGGCCCCGCCCGCUCCAGAUCCAUAGGCAGCCGCGCGCGAUCGCGGCGUGGUGGAUAAAAGCGUGCGCGCUGCGCCGCUGCCACGAGGUAAGAGAGGCGGGACGAGCGUCAGUGCAGUGCGCGUGUGGUCGGGUAGCGAUCCGAGGAGCGCGCAGCGAUGGCAGCGGCGGCCGUGGCGACUGUGGCCACCCCAUCCCCCGCCUCCAGGCGGCUGUUCCCCUCCGCCGGCCCGUCUCUUCUCCGGCUCCCAAGGCCGACCAAGCGGCUCCGGCGCGCCCUGCGGUUCGCCGCUGCGGGGGAUGAAGCGGACGUGCUGCCUGGCCCGGGGGCCGAGGGGGAGGCCGUGGUGCCCGGGAGGCUGGAGGAGCAGCCGGACGAGCAGCUGGGCGGAAGCCAGCUCGACAUCGGAGGGCUCGCCUUCCAGGGCGACGUGGGCGGGGGCUUCACCGGCGGCGGAGCGGGCUCCGGGGCCUCCGGCGGUGGCGGCGGCAACAAGAUGCUGGACCGGGGCAUCAACACGGCCAUCGUGCUCGGGGCCAGCACCUACGCUCUCACCAAGCUGCUCACCGUCGACCAGGACUACUGGCAUGGGUGGACGAUCUUCGAGAUCCUGCGCUAUAUGCCGGAGCACAACUGGUCCGCAUACGAGGAGGCCCUCAAAGCCAACCCGGUUCUAGCCAAGAUGAUGAUCAGCGGUGUCGUCUACUCCCUUGGUGACUGGAUUGCACAGUGCUACGAAGGCAAGCCGAUAUUUGAUUUCGACCGUGCUAGGAUGUUCCGGUCUGGCCUUGUUGGGUUCACGCUUCAUGGGUCACUUUCACAUUACUACUACCAUAUAUGCGAGGCACUGUUCCCAUUCAAGGAUUGGUGGGUUGUCCCUGCAAAGGUUGCAUUCGAUCAGACCAUCUGGUCUGCGAUCUGGAACAGUAUCUACUUUGUGGUCUUGGGUUUCCUUCGGUUGGAAUCACCUACCACUAUCUACAACGAGCUCAAGUCCACAUUCUGGCCCAUGCUUACUGCUGGAUGGAAGUUGUGGCCUUUUGCGCACUUAGUUACAUAUGGUGUGGUUCCUGUUGAGCAAAGACUUCUAUGGGUCGACUGUGUGGAGCUUGUCUGGGUCACAAUACUGUCGACUUAUUCAAACGAAAAGUCAGAGGCAAGGAAUUCUGAUAGUACCUCCACACCAGCGGCUUCAAAGGACAACUCCACAUAGCAACCCCAAAGAUCUUGGAAAGUUGCUUCGCCCUUCCCUCACUUCAGGGGUUAUGUAAAUUGUACAGUUAGCUGCAGCAACUAUGCAGUGAACUGCACUUGUUUUGGGACGUAAGGUACUCUGCAACUUGAAUUAUCCUAUGGAACCAGAGUUGGUCGGUGUACUCCUAGCAAACUAGUUUCCAUAAAUCUGUCAUAUUGGAAGAGUUGAUACAAUUUCAUUACUCUGCUAAGAGUUCUACCAAGAAAGCAUGUACAGAUGUGUUUAAUGUAGAGGUUUUUAAUGUGCUUAAGGGUUGAUUUGGUGACAAGUGGAUCACGGGAGGAUUGAAGGGGAAAUAAACUAAUUUCUCUCUCAAUCCCCUCCAAUCCUCCCGAAAUCCCGAAUCACCAAAUCAGCUCUAAAGGGGAUAUUUAUUAAAAAAAAUCGUUGGACCUGUCUCUCUGUGAAGAGACAUAUUAACAAUAGACGUCUAUCUUUUACUGUAGGAAUCUGUUAUCUAUUCUAUCGAUAUGAUAUUGUACAGUUAUAUUUAUUUUUAUAUUUAUUAAUAAAUUAUAUUUAUAAACUUUCUAUUA